ensembl:snoRNA
AAGACUAUACUUUCAGGGAUCAUUUCUAUAGUGUGUUACUAGAGAAUUGUGGCUGAAAGUGUAGCACGGAGGUAACCACGAGGAAGAGCUGUGGUGUUCUCUUCUGAGCGUGAAGCCGGUUUGUGACACUGCUUGUUAGCGGUUGUUACAUGCCAUUGAUGAUCGUUCUUCUCUUCCUUCUGGAGGGGCAAGAGGGAGAGAACACAGGCUGAGUGGUU